ACUCCUACGGGAGGCAGCAGUGGGGAAUUUUGCGCAAUGGGCGAAAGCCUGACGCAGCAACGCCGCGUGAGUGAUGAAGGCUUUCGGGUCGUAAAGCUCUGUCAGGGGGAAGGAAGUGUAUUGUGGCUAAUAUCCACGAUACUUGACGGUACCCCUAAAGGAAGCACCGGCUAACUCCGUGCCAGCAGCCGCGGUAAUACGGGGGGUGCAAGCGUUGUUCGGAAUUAUUGGGCGUAAAGAGCGUGUAGGCGGUUUGUUUAGUCUGAUGUGAAAGCCCUGGGCUCAACCCAGGAAGUGCAUUGGAUACUGGCAGACUUGAAUACGGGAGAGGGUAGUGGAAUUCCUAGUGUAGGAGUGAAAUCCGUAGAUAUUAGGAGGAACACCGGUGGCGAAGGCGGCUGCCUGGACCGAUAUUGACGCUGAGACGCGAAAGCGUGGGUAGCAAACAGGAUUAGAUACCCUGGUAGUCCACGCCGUAAACGAUGAGAACUAGGUGUUGCGGGUA
rnacentral:rRNA from 1 species